UCGAGAAUUUUUCACAAUGGACGAAAGUCUGACGGAGCGACGCCGCGUGCGGGAUGAAGGCCCUUGGGUUGUAAACCGCUGUCAGAGGGGAUGAAAUCUUCGGAGGUACUCCUCCGAAGUUGACAGAGCCUCAAAGGAAGCACGGGCUAAGUACGUGCCAGCAGCCGCGGUAACACGUACUGUGCGAACGUUAUUCGGAAUCACUGGGCUUAAAGGGUGCGUAGGCGGCGAUUCAAGUCAGGUGUGAAAUGCCUGAGCUCAACUGAGGUAUUGCGCUUGAAACUGAAUUGCUAGAGUAUCCCAGGGGUGUGCGGAACUGCCAGUGGAACGGUGAAAUGUGUUGAUAUUGGCAGGAACACCGGAGGCGAAAGCGGCACACUGGGGGAUAACUGACGCUGAGGCACGAAAGCCAAGGGAGCGAACGGGAUUAGAUACCCCAGUAGUCCCUGAGCGGGCUGGCAAGGCGCAU
rnacentral:rRNA from 1 species